AAUGGUUCUCGAGAGUAAUCCGACCGGUACAAGAAGACGUGAUGCGCAGCGAGCUAGGUGGGUCGACCAAGUGGAGGACGAUCUGCGGACUCUACGCAGAGUGCGGAACUGGAGACAAACAGCCAUGGACCGAGUGGAAUGGAGACGGCUACUAUGUACAGCAGAGGCCACGCCGGCCUUAGCUUGAUUGGUAAGGUAAGUAAGCCAUUUGGCAAAAUAGAUCCCCCUGACCACAGUACAAUCCGGAAUAUCUCCGAAAUGGUUCCGGAUAUUGCAAGGCCACUUGAGUAUAAUAAACUUGCAUCAAUUCAGGAUCGAUUGAGGGCGAUUUAAAAAAAAAACGAAUGAAAAUGUGACGAAAUACCAGCAUUUUGAGAAUGACUUGUCGGGGGUCGGGUACGUGAAGGUUAAGCACACACUGAUAUCCAUUUUAUAUCUGUGUUUCCUAGAAAAAUUUGGUGCAUUUUUAUGCACAAGAUCGAUAACAAGCACCAUCGUAGUAUCACAAUAAAAAAAGCAAAAACAAAGUAUCCACCCCGCAGUCGUAAAAGGAGAGCCCAUUGAACCGGUGUAGGCAGAUUUCAUUCAGUUAGGCACCUGAUUGGAAUAUUGGGAAGUUUUUUUGUAGAAUUAAGUGAUCUCGAUAGUAUUAAAUACUUCCGCUUUGCCAGUUUUCGAGGCCUACCGAGUACCGAUUUAUCCGGAGAACAUGGGAGGCAUCUUCACCUUAAUAGGUGUUGUAGCUAUAAGCGCCCUGUAUUAUAUAUCACUACGGCUCAAUUUAAAUUAUACAAGGUCGUCCGACUCAAGCAUACACCACAACCAGGAAAGUAAUAUCACGACCUUUGCAGCUGAGGCAAUCAACCCUACUCGUAACGAGAAAACUUAUUUAAUAGCGAACAAUCGAAAAAAGCAACCAUCCAGCAGUGAAUCGCUAAGAUCUCCUAGUGUCGGAUCGGGUGGAGCAUUAGAAGCGAGGCCGGGUCAUAACAUACCCAAGCCGGAUUUCUAUACGAAAUAACUUCCGAAAGUCACGAGCUGUAAUAAAAUCCUAUGUGUCUUCCGUGGCCAUAAUGGCACAUUUUUCCGUCAGUCAAUGUGAGUUGGAAAUACAAUAAUGAUUUAAAUAUAUACGAUGCAUCCCGGUGUUGUUUAGUAU